UCGGACAUGGUGUACGGUACACGGCCUCCUCUCCUUGAGCUGCAUGCGACAAGUUGUGCGAGGCAAAUUGGGGUUCGACUCCCCGUGUCCGAA